rnacentral:rRNA from 1 species
GUGGGUAGUCCGCAACGAGCGUAACCCGCUCUUCAUUUGCCAUCGGGUGAUGCCGAGCACUCUGGCAGAGACUGCCCAGUGAUAACGGGGAGGAAGGUGGGGAUGACGUCAAGUCAGCAUGGCCUUUAUGCCUGGGGCUACACACGUGCUACAAUGGCCGGCACAAAGGGUUGCAAUCCCGUGAGGGGGAGCCAAUCCCAAAAAACCGGCCUCAGUUCAGAUUGUGGUCUGCAACCCGACCACAUGAAGGUGGAAUCGCUAGUAAUCGCGGAUCAGCACGCCGCGGUGAAUACGUUCCCGGGCCUUGUACACACCGCCCGUCACACCACGAAAGUCAGCUGUACCUGACGUCACUGGAGCUAACCCGCAAGGGAGGCAGGUGCCCACGGUGAUGGUUGGUGAUUGGGGUGAAGUCGUAACAAGGUAGCCGUAGGGGAACCUGCGGCUGGAUCACCUCCUUU